rnacentral:lncRNA from 1 species
UGCCAAGAACAACACAUGUCCAGUUACAAAACAAUCUCUUAUUACGGGCAUAGAGUUGACCCCAAAUGUCACUCUUCGGAGAUUUAUCCAAUCGUGGUGUACUAUCAACGCGUCUCAUGGUAUUGAAAGGUUCCCUACACCAAAGCCUCCGGUUAGCAAACCACAAAUAAUAAAGCUCCUAAAAGAAGCGAAAUCGCCUAUGAUGCAAAUGAAAUCACUCAAGACCCUCCGAUCCAUUGCUUCUGAGAAUGAUGCUAACAAACGUUGCAUGGAAUCCGCGGGGGCAAUGGAGUUUUUAGCUUCUAUUAUUAAUAAUAAUAAUUCGAAUGAAGUGUUUGAAGAAGAAGAAGAGGGUUUCAUGAGUACUAAAGACGAAGCGCUUAGCAUCCUCUAUCAACUCAAAUUAUCCGAACAAGGAUUGAAGUCACUCAUCAUGAGUGGAAAUGGAGAAUUCAUUGAGUCAUUGACACAUGUCAUGCAACAUGGGAGCUAUGAGUCUAGGGCUUACGCGGUUAUGCUAAUGAAAGACAUGUUUGAAGUAUCCACACCAACUUUACUUUUGAGUUUGAAACAAGAAUUCUUCACACAAGUUGUUCAAGUCUUGAGGGAUGAGAUCUCUCAAAAGGCUACAAAAGCAUCAUUGCAAGUGCUAGUGCACGCGUGUCCAUUUGGUAGGAACAGAGUGAAAGCAGCAGAAGCAGGAGCAAUUAGGGUUUUGGUUGAUCUUCUGCUCGAUUCAUCUGAGAAAAGGGUUUGUGAAUUGAUGCUAAUUUUACUAGAUCAACUUUGUCUGAGCGCAGAAGGGAGAGCUGAGCUAUUGAAUCAUCCUGGAGGAUUAGCCAUUGUGUCCAAGAAAAUACUUAGGGUUUCAAAAGUAGGGAGUGAAAGGGCAAUCAAGAUCUUACAUUCAAUCUCAAAGUUUUCAUCAACACCAAGUGUUGUUCAAGAGAUGUUGAGUUUGGGUGUGGUGGCAAAGCUUUGUUUGGUGCUUCAAGUUGAUUGUGGAAGUAAAUCUAAGGAAAGAGCUAGAGAAAUUCUCAAAUUUCAUGCUAAGGCAUGGAGUAAUUCUCCUUGUAUACCUAAUAAUUUACUAUCUUCAUAUCCAUUUUAGGAAUUAGGUAGAAAUGAGCAAAAAUUGCUUAGUAGUGGAUUGUUUUUGUGUACAUAAUUUAUUCUUUUCAGAAAAUAGAAAAAAAAAUGGACAAAAUGGUCCAUGAAAUUUAAUUGUUCAUACAUAUUUCCAUCCUCAACAUUUUGAUUCCCUUCUUAUUUUGUAGCUCCAAUAGCAAGUAUAGAGUGGAAAUUUUUGAGAUCUUAAUGCUCUAUUAUUUCAGUAAGAAGUCCAUUGAAUCCCAAAUUCGCGUGAGGUCCAACGAAGGAUAUCAGUUUAAUGGGAUAAUGAAGACAGUCUAUCCUAAUACAAAUAUAAUCAUUAGUAAUAAAUUUAUAAUCCAACCCGUAAACUAUAAAUACACAAAGAUAAUUUUAGCGUUAUUCCAGAACGUAACUCCCAUUCAUAGUAAAUAUUACGAAUACUAUAUACAUAGUCAAGAAUUAGUAUUAUGUGUCUUUGCACACAGGAUUAAAUUUGAAAUCAUUAUUUUUGAGAAAAUUCUUUAAUUUGGUGAGAACCAGGUAUUAGACUUUUCAUCAUCUAAAAAUUUACAAUAACAUUCAAAAUAAUCAGCUCUUAUUAAUUAUUUGAACUUUACUAGAAGUUAAAAUUUUGUGAUUGUGAUAUGAGUGCAACUAGUCCCAAUGAAAGAAACAAGUAGUAAUAAUUAGAUGAACUUUGAAGAUUGUUGGACUUCAAAUCUAAGCCAAUAAUAUGAUGAUUUUGAAUUUUUCAUAAAUUUCAAAGAAUAAUAUAAAAGAAUGUGUCAUCUUAUAAGUAAUCUCUAAUAGAUUGUUUUUUUUUUAACCCGGAGAGAGAAUUUACGAUUGGGAUAGACAUGCUAAUUUCGGUAGAUAGACACUAAAAUUUAUAUUAAACAGGUAGACAGACACAUCAUACGUGACAUAAUAUAAAUAAGUUCGAAUAUAUCUUACACGAAUUGCCACUAAAAUGAGUUGUCUACUUGUUCAACUUUAUAUAAGUUCAAGUGUCUAUUUGUGUACACAUAAAAUUGAAAGGCAUAAAAUAUCACCUGAGGUCAAGUUAGAUGGGUAUAUCUAUGUAUUAUACAUAUCUUGAUUAUUAUACAAGAAAAAAAUUGUGUUCUUGCAUUGUUAAUGUUUAUUCUAUUGCAAAACUAUCUAAUUAUACAAAUAUUUCAAUUAAAUUUACCAAGUCUUCUUACAAUUUGAAAAAAUUGUAUAUUGUCUCACUAAUUAAUAAUGUCAUAUUAGAUUUCAAGUCAAAUUUAUUUAAAUACAUGUAUUUUUAAUUGCUACCAGAUACAGAUACACUAAAAUAGGGAGAGAGGUGAGUGAGAGAAGGAGAGAGGUGAGAGCGAGAUAGGAGGGAGGCGAGCUAAACAAUAUAUGUAUCCUAGAUAUAUGUGAAUCACAAUAGAUACAUGUAUCUAGGAUACCCAGAUACAUAUUAAAAUCCAAAUACAUAGGAAGAGAGGAUAGCGAGAAAGGGAGAGAAGCAAGUGAGAUAGGAGAGAAGGAGCGAGAUAGGAGAGAUGCGAGAGAGUCAGACGAUAUAUGUGAAUCCACUUGAAUACAAUGUAUCUACAACAAAUUACUCCUAAUUUUGACCUAAUGUAUCUAGACACGUAAGAUACAUGUUCGAAGUUCAAAUUCUGAUAAGAUUCGUCAUAUUAAAAUCUUGUAUAAAAGAAAACAAUUUACUCUUAAACUAGUGUAAUUUGUGUUAAUUGGCCUUAUUCUAUUUAUACAUAGGCUUAGAUUAACUUGAAUAGGCAAGCAAAUAUGACGGAAUAUUGCAAGCAAUAUUAAACUAGAUAAAUUAAAAGGUUGAAUCAAUUAAAAAAAUACAAGGUGAUUGUUAGAUAUAGCUAUAACUCUAAAUUGAUUUGAGCUAAUUAUUUAUUUUUAAAAAUUACAUAAAUUGAAACCUAGUAAUCUAGUUGUUGCCAACUGUUUCUUUCUCUCACUAAUAAAUAAAACACGAGUUAUUUAUAAAUAAAAAGGAUACAUUCAUGUGUUUUAUUACUUUUAGAGAGAGAAAGUCAAAAGUGAGCUGUUUUUUUCUUCUUACGUACACACAUUUAGGCCACCGAAAAUACACAUAAUAGACUACCCCUUUUGAGCUAGUAAUGUUUCCUUCGUUUUAUUUUACUUGAUCUGUAUGUUAAAAAUUGAUAUUUUAUAUCUAUCUAACAAUUAAUAAAAUUUAUUACAUAAAAUAGAAACUGAUAAAUUUAAAAUUUCAAAAAAUAAUUAAUCAAGUUAGUUUAUAUGGCUACAACUUUGAUUAAAAAAAUUUCAAGGCGGGUGUUAGUUCAACUAGGAUCAAAUAAUAUAAAACGGAGAGAGUAUUUAUUAAAGCGCUAAGCAAUUAUUCCUUUUAAAUUCUCCUUUCGUUAUUUUUUUUACUUAUUCACUAAAUUAAACAAUAUAUUUUACUUGUUAGCAUAUCAUACUCUAUGCUUAACAUGAAAUACUUAUUUUUCAAAACUUAAAACCAGACAUAAAUUAACAUAUUGUUUUUAUCAAGGAUAGAUAUAGUCUAAACUGAACAAGUAAAAAGUAAUGGAUGAGUAUUUAAAUAGUAUAAUUAAUAAAUACCCUUUGAAAAGUCUUAUUCUUCUAUUUGCGUGUUGACUUUGAAAAGCUCAAUCUACAAAUCAUAUAUAAGCACAACCAAAUCCUCUAUUUUUUCAAACCAAUUCACUACUCAUCUAAAGUUUCAACGAAUCAAAGUUUCCUCUUUUUUUUUGGUCAUAUUUGUAACUUUCCUAUAAGGAUUGAUCUCCUUCUUAGAUUAAUCUUGAAAAUUUCCAAAAUAUACAAAUGGAAGAAAUUCAAGUACCUUCUUAUUUUAUUUGCCCCAUUUCACUUGAGAUGAUGAAAGAUCCUGUUACGAUCUCUACAGGAAUAACAUAUGAUCGAGAAAACAUUGAAAAAUGGGUAUUCUCUGAAAAGAACAACACUUGUCCGGCUACGAAACAGUCUCUUACAUGCAUAGAGUUGACCCCAAAUGUUACUCUUCGACGAUUAAUCCAAUCGUGGUGUACUAUCAAUGCGUCUCAUGGUAUUGAAAGGUUCCCUACACCAAAGCCUCCGGUAAGCAAACCACAAAUCAUAAAGCUCCUAAAAGAAGCGAAAUCGCCUAAAUUGCAAAUGAAAUCUCUCAAGAGACUCAGAUCCAUAGCUUCUGAGAAUGAUGCUAACAAACAUUGCAUGGAAUCUGCUGGGGCAAUGGAGUUUUUAGCUUCUAUUAUUAAUAAUAAUAAUUCGAAUGAAGUGUUUGAAGAAGAAGAAGAGGGUUUCAUGAGUACUAAAGACGAAGCGCUUAGCAUCCUCUAUCAACUCAAAUUAUCCGAACAAGGAUUGAAGUCACUCAUCAUGAGUGGAAAUGGAGAAUUCAUUGAGUCAUUGACACGUGUCAUGCAACAUGGGAGCUAUGAGUCUAGGGCUUACGCGGUUAUGCUAAUGAAAGACAUGUUUGAAGUAUCCACACCAACUUUACUUUUGAGUUUGAAACAAGAAUUCUUCACACAAGUUGUUCAAGUCUUGAGGGAUGAGAUCUCUCAAAAGGCUACAAAAGCAUCAUUGCAAGUGCUAGUGCACGCGUGUCCAUUUGGUAGGAACAGAGUGAAAGCAGCAGAAGCAGGAGCAAUUAGGGUUUUGGUUGAUCUUCUGCUCGAUUCAUCUGAGAAAAGGGUUUGUGAAUUGAUGCUAAUUUUACUAGAUCAACUUUGUCUGAGCGCAGAAGGGAGAGCUGAGCUAUUGAAUCAUCCUGGAGGAUUAGCCAUUGUGUCCAAGAAAAUACUUAGGGUUUCAAAAGUAGGGAGUGAAAGGGCAAUCAAGAUCUUACAUUCAAUCUCAAAGUUUUCAUCAACACCAAGUGUUGUUCAAGAGAUGUUGAGUUUGGGUGUGGUGGCAAAGCUUUGUUUGGUGCUUCAAGUUGAUUGUGGAAGUAAAUCUAAGGAAAGAGCUAGAGAAAUUCUCAAAUUUCAUGCUAAGGCAUGGAGUAAUUCUCCUUGUAUACCUAAUAAUUUACUAUCUUCAUAUCCAUUUUAGGAAUUAGGUAGAAAUGAUCAAAAAUUGCUUACUAGUGGAUUGUUUUUGUGUACAUAAUUUAUUCUUUUCAGAAAAUAGAAAAAAAAUGGACAAAAUGGUCCAUGAAAUUUAAUUGUUCAUAUAUAUCCAUCUUCAACAUUUUGAUUCCCUUUUAUUUUUGAGAGCUUAAUGCUCUAUUAUUUCAGUAAGAAGUCUAUGAUAGACAUUUUAUUUGUCACUUUUUUUUUUUUGAAAUUUAAUCUACAUAAACUAUGAUAGACAUUUAUUAUCAUACAUCUCAAAUUAUUUGUCAACUAUUUUUUUUAAAAAUUAAUCUACAUAAACUAUGAUAGACAUUUAUUAUCAUCAUAUGAAUAUGAAAAGAAUUGAAUCUUGUAGUAAUACUUUUUUUGUCUUAUUACUCCCUUUUCCAACAAUAGUUGUCCACUAUUGACUUGAGAUAGUGAUUAAGAAAUAGUAAAUGAUAGAGGUAAUUUUAGCAAAUCACCCCUAUUAAAUAUAAAUUAUCUAAAUAUAAAAAUGAAUAGUAUUUAAUAGCAAAGGUAAAAUAGAUAUAAAUGAUAAAUUAUAUUAUAAUGAUUUUAUAAACUGAACAAAUAUUGUUGGACAUUCAAAAAUAGUAUAAUAAACAAAUAAUGACGAAGGGAGUGAGUAUUGAAAAAUAAAAUUCAAUAGAAUAUAAUCUAACUAUUGUUGGAAAAAAUAUAUUCUUAUUCAUUAUCAAUGAUUUUUCUUAAUUUGCUAUAAUAGUCCUUUAGCUGUUGAAGGUUUUGACUACUUUAUUGUAUGAUAUUUUUCCAUAUAUAUAUAUCCUGAGAAUAAUGUUUUUCUUUUACAGUAAAGAACAUUAAAAAAAAUUCUGAUUCUCCCUUUUUUUUGUUGGGAUAUCCACUUUUUAAAAAAAUUGUAAUUUUUAGAGUUCCUAAUUUAAUUUUAUAUUAGAAGAGCUUGUUGAAUUCUGGCGAUACACUUAAAUCCGGUGAAAUAUUUUGAAGAACAAUGUCAAUAGGCAUGCCUCAAUAGCUUCGAAAAUUUCUGUGGUUUUCCAACAACUAUUAAUUUCGAUAAUUCUUUAAGCUCCAAGAAUUUCCAUGAUUUUGCAAUAUUUUCAAUAAAUAUUAAUUUCGAUAAUACUUCAAGCUUAGAGAAUUUCCAUGAUAUUUAAAUAUUUUCCAAUAACUAUUAAUUUUGAUAGUUCUUCAAACUUCAAUUUUUUUAGAUAUUUUGUAACAUCUCGCACUUAGAAACGACUAUAAAGAGUUUAAAAAUAUGAAAAUAUUGAUUUUUGGAAAGGAUAAGAAAAUCUGGAAUUUUUUGUCUAAGUUAAGAAGUGAGUUUUGGCCUUUUUCAAACGGCCAUAACUCCUAGUUCAAGAUGAGUUAGGAGCAGAUCUGGAUAUUGUUGGAAACCUCUUGGAAUAAUCUUUCCAACGCCGCCGAGUUUGCGCGAUUCCGAGUUUGUAUGAGUAAGUUAUUCCCUUUGGAAGUUGGGUUAUUGGAUUAAGGAAAGUCCAAAUCCGGAUUUGUGAGGGGUAAACUAGUCUUUUCCUUACCUAAUUUGCCUAUUUCGUUUUUAGAAAUUAAUUGGGGUAAAACAAGACUUUAUUCAGUUUUAAAAAAAUUAGAUUUUACACUAGGGCUUGGAGAGAAGAAGAAAGAAGAGAAAAGAGGAGAGAAAUCAAGAAAUCGCCAAGAACAUUCAAGCUUUGCGAGUGGAAUUCAUCGGGGGUGAUCCCUACUAAGGUAUGUGAGAUUUAUUUCAUGUUGGGUUAGUUCACCCACACACUAACUUGUUUCAAUUUAGCAAAAUUGGAGUUGUUUGAAUGUUAAGAAAGUGAAGUUCUUGAAGAACAUUGUUGAAUUCUUGUGGGUUGAUUGUUGAAUGCCUAGUAUUGAUUUGAUUCGUGUUUCCGGGUUGUCUUUCGAGUUAAAUCUAUCAUGUAUUGAGGGUAUAAAUGAUCCUAAGUGUUUGGGGAAAGGACCACUGAAGUUUAGAGGGUUUAGAGAUGAAAAACGAAGGAGAAAAGUCGGGGAUUUUCUGGGCAAGGGCUUGGGGCGCUGCGCCUGCCAGAGCGCCACAAAAGUUCCUCUGAACUUUGGCCUCUGGCGCGUCGGGCCAGCCAGAGAGCCACAGGCAGCCCUCUGAAGUUUGAGGGCUGGCGCCCCGCGCCUCUCAGAGCGCCAGGGAUACCAGUUCUCCCCAUUCGUUCCUCACCUUCUCGUACUUGUUCCUAAGUGAUGUACCUAUGUUUUCUAGUUAAUUUCAACAAUCUAAAGUACAUCUAAACACCAUGAAAUCAUCCAUAAACAUGAGAUCAUGAACCUUGAAUCCAUAAUUCAAUUCAAGGAAAGUUAAGUUCAAAGUCAAAGAAGUUAAGAGUCAAGUCUAGAAGUUAAAAAGCAAGUCAAAGCAAAGUUUCUUAAAGUUUCCAAGGGUCUUUAACCAUGUUUUAUCGUCGUUUUAAGACCUAAGUUUUGAAGUUAAGCAAAGAGUAAAGCUAUGGUUUGAAGUUCUUUCUUCAAAGAGAUAUAUGGGGACUAUGUAUUCCCAAAGGAGUUUUAAAGAGAUGUUUUCACAUUUAAACGAGAUCGGAAACUGAGAUUUCCAAAGAUGCCUUUGGGCUAGUUUUCAGAAAAGAAUAAUGGCUUUCUAAAUGAAGCAAGCAGGUGAAAAUGAGAAUUCCAAGAUAGCCUUUGAGCUAAGUUUUGAGCACUAGUCUCAAAUCAGCAGAAAGAAAUAUGUUUUAAAAACAUAAGAGCCAUUACAUUUUUUGGAGUAGUAUUGAGCACCGAAUUGGGGGAGCGUUCAAAGAACCCACAACCCCCAUAGAACUAUGUAGCCACCAUGGGUAGAAGAGGUUCAUACCUUUUAGAUGAAUCCUUUUCAAAUUAGACUAGUGGAUCCAUUAGGCAGCUCAGGUCCUAUACUUUUGGCCGGGUAUAGGAUGCUCUGGCAGCGUGAGGUUGAUCGUUGUAUCAUCACUAUAGCUCUUAUGUGAUGGUUGUCGGUUAGAGAAACUCCCACAGCAGUUAUUGUAUUUUUAUAUACACCAGUUCAUUUGUAUUUCUACAUACAUCUCAGAUUUAUAGUAUCUUUGCAUUCAUACAGAGUUUAUAGCAUGUUUUAAAAUAGCUUUUCUUUAUAUUGCACUUGUUUUAAAUUGCUUUAUAUUGAAAUGAGUCAGUCAGGUUGAGUUGAGUUGAGCCAGGUAAGUUAUUCAGUUUCUUUUAGAUUUCCUUCUAGCCUAUGUUGCUUAGCAUUUCAACUCACAUACUCGUACAUUCAAUGUGCUGAUGUCAGUUGGCCUGCAUCGUCUUAUGAUGCAGAUUCAGGUAAUCAGGAUCAACAUCCAGCGCCUCGUUGAUCCAGUUGAGCAGCUCAGAGUCAGUGGUGAGCCUCCUUGUGUUCCGGAGGACUCUUUUUAUUCACUUUCAGUCUUUCAUUUAUUAGGAUGUUGUGGGGUUUGUCCCAACAUCCAUUUCAGUAUUUUAGAGGUUUCAUGGACAGUUAGAUAGUUAGUAGUUCAGUAGUCUUUACAUUAUUCAUUCAGUUGUUGUUUAAAGACUAAGUUGCCAUUUUGGCUAAAAUGUUAUUUCCUUAAGUUAUUGUUUAAACUUAUUAUGUUGAGAAAUUCUUCUGUUGAGUUCAGAAAGUCAGGCCAAGGGUUCGCUUGGGACUAGCGAUGAUCUUCGAGUGCCAGUCCCGCCUAGGGUGUAGGCUCGGGGAAUGACAUAUUUUUCAACAACUAUUAAUUUCGAUAAUACUUUGAAAAUUUGUGGACAUGAGUGCAACAAGUCCGUCAAUCGAAAGAAGGAAGCAUCAAGUGGUUAAGCUUUGAAUAUUGUAAUUAAUUGGACUUUAAAAUUUAGCCACUUAUUUUGAUGAUCCAUGAAUUCUCCAAAAGACUUCAGAAAAAUAAAUGUAAAUUUGUGUGAACUUAGUUGACUUUUCUAAUUUAUUGAAUUCAUCAUUAAUUAAAUUGGAUAAUUUGACUUGGAAAUUCAAUAGUAUAUACUAUGAGCUCAUUUCAACUUGUACCAUUUCUUUUGUAGCUAUUUUAGAAAAGGAUGGCUAUCUGUCAAAGUGUUUGUUAGGAUCAACUUGUAAGUUAAUACUUCUCCGUCUUAAAUUAUUUAUUGUAUUGUUUAUGCACUUUUUAAAAAGAUAAUAACUAUAAGAAAUUUUGAUUAUUUUACUUUUAUUUAUAUCUUGUGAUAUAGUCUUUCUAUUCAUUGAAUAAAACCCCAUAAUAAGUUUUAUGUGAUUAUCUUUUUUUUUAAAAAUACUAUCAAGAGUAAAAUAAGAAAAAAAUUAAUUAAUUUUAUCUUGAACUGCUAAAAUUCUGAAUGAUUUGAGACAAUUACUUUUGAAAAUCAAUAACAAUAACAUACCUAAUGUAAUCCUACAAGUGAGAUUUGAAAAAGACAAGAUAGAACAUGAUAUACAUAAUUAGUCUAUCUUUAAGGGAUAGAGAAUGUAACACCCCAUAUUCUACGUGUACUAGUUCUAUUUAUAUGACGCUUAUAAAUUUUCGUGUGGUAUAGUUAUGGACUCGGUUUCCUAUGCAACUAGUGACAAUAGAAUAGGUUUAAAGUAAACUGUCCAUAGAUUUUGAUGCGACCCGAUUAAGUUGACGUCGAUGUAAGUAUUUAAACUUGAGAUCAUAAGGUGGUAUUUGAGUCUAAAGUUUAAAUUGACAUAGUGUAUAUAAGUUUUAAGUUAAAUUAAAGGUAUUAAGGUCGAUAAAUGGAAUAAGAUAUUGAGGUGCUUGAUUGACAGGUGCUGAUUGACUACACUAAUCUAGUAGGUACAUCACCUACUUUGACUUAUUGACUAGCCCAAGGGACCAAGUAGGUGCAUCAACUACUAAGACUCUUUCGAUCAUGUUAUUGGGCCAAGUGCACUACCACCUACUUGCAUUAAUCUGGCCCAAGUUGAUUAGAAGAAUAAGGGGAAAAUGGACAGCCAAGGCCCAAUCUUUCCAACCCACAAGAAAUAAUUUGAAUGGAAAAGUAGGUGCAUCACCUACUUAAAUGUGUGGCCUAAAUUAAAGACACAUGUUGGCUGAAAAUGAAGUACAAGAAAGGUGGCAAAAGCCCCAAUGUUCUUAAGUCCAAAAAGGCCCAAGUGAAAAGUCCAAGUAGGUGGGUCACCUAUUUGACAAAUUAUGGCCCAAAAUGAGUAAGAAAGUCGGCCAAAGCAGGUCCCUUUAAAAGGGAUAGAUAUCAGCUUUUACCAACCAUUUUUACUUUGACAAAAGAAUCUGAUUUCUAGAGCAUUCUCUCUUCUCUCUCUUAGCUUCAUACAACAGCCAUUAAAUACCAUUAGGGUUCUUGAACAUGAGGGAGUUCAAGCUAUUGGAAUGUAUAAUUUAAGGCAACAUUUUACCUUGAAGAAUCCAAGUCUUAGCAAGUGGUAGUUCUGUCCAGCAAGGUAAGCUACUGCAAUUUUCUCCCUCUUGUGCUUGAGUAAAUUAGGACACUUGGUAUGUGUUAGUGAGUUGGAAAUUGUUACUUUUACAUGGUGUAAUAUUUGGGAGGUUGUUCUGGUGAUUAGUGCAUGUUGGGACAUCUAUGGAGGGGAGUCCUCUUUAAAUUCAGUUAUGAGCUUGUUUGAGCACUUUAAAAGUAAUGUUAGCUCUUCAAGUGUUGGUGAUCAGAAACCAUGAUCAUAUUGCUUCUGUUACAUUAUUAUGUUUAAGGAUUGCUUUAUGUAUGUUAUGAUAAGGGAUGUGAAUGGAUGUGCGGGAAAGUUAUGGAGACGUUAAAUGACUUAAAUAUUGCAGGGAGUUUUGGGGAGGACCUGAUACGAAGGUUGUACGGUAUAUAGACACGAUUAAAGGGAAAGGGAAGGAAAGAAAACACUGGCUAGAUAAAUUGCAUGCUUACUGCUUGGUUACUAUUUGGGUGAGAUCAAGUAGCUCAAAUUGAUUGAUUAGCUACUAAUACUAGUCUUACAACUUAUUUUAAUUGUAGAUUAGUAACCUAAAGAGAAGGAGCUUAAGUCAUACGUAUUGAAUUGUAUAGCAAGGUAUGUAAGGAUAUUCGAUUUCCAAUUUCUUCUACAUGAAUCCAAUACUUGUAAUACAAAGUAAGCUCUCUAAGUGCCCUUGGUAGUGACUGAUCCAUAGUUGCAGUUCCUACUCCCUAGAGCAGUAAAGUGAGUACUCUAAUAUGAGAUUGUUACUAAAUGUACGUGCUUACUCUACCAAGUAUUAGCAUGCAAGGUUUAAACUACUUUCUCUAUUGUACAUUUUAUAUGUACUUACUUGGAAUAUGUAUCCGUCCUAAAGUUAAAUCUACCCACGUUCUCCCUUGGUUUCACAUUCACGUAUACCUUGUAUUUGAUAUUAGUUAGUGAGUAUUUGACUAUCAUAUAGAGUUCAAAUCUCUUGGCUGAAUGUUAAAUGUCUUCACUUGAUAUGUGCUUCAAUUUGAAAUGUCAAAAUGCUUACUGAGUCAUAUAAGCUCUUAAGUAUUACACGUUCAUGUCUACAUUUGCUUCCCAUGUCAUUGUUAUUAUCGUAACUCCAUAUUCAUAUGUCUUCUACUACUGGUCCAUAGUUCCAAAUCUCAACAAUGAUUAUGACCACCAAAACAACAAUCUCAAAAGAGUUAUGGACAUCAAAACAAUAAUCUCAAAGAUUAAAGAGCCUAAGUGAAGCAAUAUGUAUAAUUAUGGGUGGCAGCCCAGGGGCAAAUGCCUAGCAUGGGUCGAUCCCAAUUGGUAUAGAAUGGUGGCAGCUCAGGGGCGAAAGCCUAGCAUGAGACGAUCCCAAUUGGUAUAAGAAGGUGGCAGCUCAGGGGUAAAAGUCUAGCAUGGGCCGAUCCCAAUUUGUGAAAUUAUGAGGACAGCAUCCCAGGGGUUAAAAUGUCUAGCAUGGGUCAUCCUCUUCUACCGCUGAUCAGCUGGUCAUUUGUAUCAUAUGUCUUAUAAUUAUUAUAAUGCAAAGAAAAGUAAAGAAAAUAAUGUAACAUACACGAUUCCACAAGUAUAAGCAAAGGUGGUAUGUAAUCCUUAUCUAUUGGUAUUUGAUUUCACUUGAGCUCUCAUUUUACAUAUGGUUUUAUUAUGCCUUACAUAUUCAGUACAUUCUUUCGUACUGACGUCCCUUAUUGGGGACGCUGCAUUUCAUGCUGCAGGUACAAGUACUCAACUAGUAGAUCUCCCCAAUAGAAGCACAAGAUACUCAAUGGUUGUUGGUGAGCUCCAGGUUGAUUCGGGACUUUGCCGAGUCUUUACUAUGGUUAUUUCAUAGUGGUACAAUCAUGGAUUCCAGUAGAGGCUUUGUAGACAUUGUAAAGCUAUCAUCUGAAUUCAUAGUUUCACUUGUCACAUGUAUCGGUUCAGCUAGUCAACAUGUGUUGUAUAUGAAGCUUCUCAUUAGUAAAUAUAUCUGCAUAGUAGUAGUUUACUUUCUCAUCAUAGGUUACUUGUAAAGCAUGUGUUCAUAUGGUACUUGUCCGCCUCACCUAGGGUUAGGGUGUGACAGAGAAGUUAUUCUAAUAGGACUCGAGACAAAUUUGUAAUAAGACAACAAAAUAAUAAGAUACAAAUCAAAUACAACAACCUAUAAUAAUACACAUCAAAAUUCAUCAUUCAAGAAAAAUAAUGUUUGUAUUUUUUUUAUAUAUAUAUAUAAGUGUAUUUUUCUCAAUAUUCCGAGAGAAAAAAUGCACACAAUAUUAUUGACCCUUGUUAAAUUCCUCGAGCUAAACUAUAUACAGAUACAUUUCUCUGUAACAAAUCACUCUCUAUAAUGAUAUUUUAUUAUAAAUUAAUUAUUUUUUAUAAUAACAUUUUAUUAUAAUAAUAGAAAUAUUACAUCGUUAAAAAAGUUUGAUUACCACCCAAAUGUAUUGCCUAAUGAUCAAUAAAGUGAGUUAAGCAUCAUGAGGUCUCAUCAAAUUAAAUAUCAGCAGAAACAAAAUAUUAGGUGAUUUGUUUUCAUAUGUUCUAACUUUGGUGAACAAAAUUACUUCAUACAUGUUGUUGAUGGAAGAUAAUAUGUACUCUAUAAAAUUAACCGAGAUACGUGCAAACUGGCUUGAAUACCACGAUUAUAAUAAAAUAAAAACAGUUUGAUUGGAAUGCUUCAAUUAGUACCUAUUCUUAACUGCCAACUAGUGCAACAUGAAAUAAAAAUAACCUAUUGAAAAUUUCUUUGAAAUUUUGAGUACUCAAAAGAAAAUUUCAAUUAAAACCUGGUCUUAACUACCAACUGCAACAUGAACUAUAAAUAACCUGUUGAAAAUUUCAUGCAAAUUUUCACUACUCAAAAAAAAAAAAAAAAAAAAAAUAAUACGUAAGAAAUAAAUAAAAAGACAAGAGAAUUGGUAAAGGUCAAAAUGGUGAAGAACUAGUAACUUUGUGCAAGUCUUUUAUUUUUAUUAAAAUUCAUUAAAUAUUUAUAGUUAUAUAAUUGUGAACUAAGAUACUAUUGUGUAUUAACUUAGAGAGUAGAGACUACUGUACGAAUAUAUAAAUUUCAAAUUUUUAAUCCUCCUAAUAUAAAUCGCAGUUGAUAAGGAAAAUUAAACAAUAACCAAAACCCAUCAUCAGCAUUAUUUUAUAUUAAAAAUAUAUUUUACAUGGUGUCUGCAUUGGAGCCCCGAUUAAAUAUGUAUCAUGCAUUGCAGGUUCCAUUUUGGGGGUGGAGCUUUCAACAUAAUUUUUUUCAUACCCAAGGCUUGAACCCGAGACAUCAAAUUAAUAGUGGAGCAGUUCCACCAUUAUACCUAAUAUUAAUUUUAUUUCAAAUGAUUUAACCUUAAAAGUUUUCUUUAUACUCAUCAGAGAUAACAUUAUUUUUAUAAUAACAUAAAUUAAAUAUAUAAUAUAUUUUAAAAUUUCAUGUUUAAUCAAAUUAAUAACGUGAAUAAAAAAUUAAAAGCAAGUCUUGUCGGCAGUCUUUAUUUACACUAAUAAAACACGAGUUUAUAAUACAUAAAAUAAAACGACUCCUAAUAUAAAUCGCAGUUGAUAAGGAAAAUUAAACAAUAACCAAAACCCAUCAUCAGCAUUAUUUUAUAUUAAAAAUAUAUUUUACAUGGUGUCUGCAUUGGAGCCCCGAUUAAAUAUGUAUCAUGCAUUGCAGGUUCCAUUUUGGGGGUGGAGCUUUCAACAUAAUUUUUUUCAUACCCAAGGCUUGAACCCGAGACAUCAAAUUAAUAGUGGAGCAGUUCCACCAUUAUACCUAAUAUUAAUUUUAUUUCAAAUGAUUUAACCUUAAAAGUUUUCUUUAUACUCAUCAGAGAUAACAUUAUUUUUAUAAUAACAUAAAUUAAAUAUAUAAUAUAUUUUAAAAUUUCAUGUUUAAUCAAAUUAAUAACGUGAAUAAAAGAUUAAAAGUAAGUUGUCCUGUCGGCAGUCUUUAUUUACACUAAUAAAACACGAGUUUAUUAUACAAAAAAUAAAACUAAAUAUAUAUUAUUUUUAUUUUGUACUUUAUAGAUAGAAAAAGUCAAAAUGUGUUCACUUUUUUUCCUACGUAUACAUGUAACUUGGCCUAUUUAAUUUGCCGUGUUUAAUUUUGACUUUAAAAACCUCUUUCCAAUAUUCUCAACUUAUAUAUAUAUAACCAUAAAAGCUUAAACUUCUUCAUCUACUCAAAAUAACAAAAAAAUAUUCUCUUGUUCUUAAUUUCUCCUUCUUUGAUUAAUCUUGAAAUUUUCCAAAAUAUACAAAUGGAAGAAAUCCAAGUACCUCCUUAUUUUAUUUGCCCGAUUUCUCUAGAGAUGAUGAAAGAUCCAGUCACGAUCUCGACUGGAAUAACAUAUGAUCGAGAAAACAUCGAAAAAUGGAUAUUCUCGGCAAAGAACAACACUUGUCCGGCUACGAAGCAGUCUCUUACAUGCAUAGAGUUGACCCCAAAUGUCACUCUUCGGAGAUUUAUCCAAUCGUGGUGUACUAUCAAUGCGUCCCAUGGUAUUGAAAGGUUCCCUACACCAAAACCUCCGGUUAGCAAACCACAAAUAAUAAAGCUCCUAAAAGAAGCAAAAUCGCCUAAGAUGCAAAUGAAAUCUCUCAAGAGACUCAGAUCCAUAGCUUCUGAGAAUGAUGCUAACAAACGUUGCAUGGAAUCCGCGGGGGCAACAGAGUUCUUAGCUUUUAUUAUUAAUAAUUCGAAUGAAGUGUUUGAAGAAGAGGGUUUCAUGAGUACUAAAGACGAAGCGCUUAGCAUCCUCUAUCAACUCAAAUUAUCCGAACAAGGGUUGAGGUCACUCAUCAUUAGUGGCAAUGGAGAAUUCAUUGAAUCUUUGACACGUGUCAUGCAACAUGGGAGCUAUGAGUCUAGGGCUUACGCGGUUAUGCUAAUGAAAGACAUGUUCGAAGUAUCCACACCAAAUCUACUUUUGAGUUUGAAGCAAGAAUUCUUCAUACAAGUGGUUCAAGUCUUAAGGGAUGAGAUCUCUCAAAAGGCUACAAAAGCAUCAUUGCAAGUGCUAGUGAACACGUGUCCAUUUGGGAGGAACAAAGUGAAAGCAGCAGAGGCAGGAGCAAUUAGGGUUUUGGUAGAUCUUCUGCUCGAUUCAUCUGAAAAAAGGUCGUGUGAAUUGAUGUUAAUUUUGUUGGAUCAACUUUGUCAGAGCGCAGAAGGGAGAGCUGAGCUAUUGAAUCAUCCCGGAGGAUUAGCCAUUGUGUCCAAGAAAAUACUUAGGGUUUCUAAAGUGGGGAGUGAAAGAGCAAUCAAGAUCUUACAUUCAAUCUCAAAGUUUUCAUCAACACCAAGUGUUAUUCAAGAGAUGUUGAGUUUGGGUGUGGUGGCAAAGCUUUGUUUGGUGCUUCAAGUUGAUUGUGGAAGUAAAGCUAAGGAAAGAGCUAAAGAAAUUCUCAAAUUUCAUGCUAAGGCAUGGACGAAUUCUCCUUGUAUACCUAAUAAUUUAUCAUCUUCAUAUCCAUUUUAGGAAUUAGGAUAGAAAAAAAAGUAAAAAUUGCUUAGUAGUGGAUAAUAUUUGUGUACAUAAUUUAUUCUUUUUAGAAAAUAGGAAAAAAAAAAAAAGAAGGACAAAAUAGUCCAUGAAAUUUAGUUGUUCAUAUUCAUCUUCAACUUUUUUGAUUCUCUUCUUAUUUUUGUAUCUCCAAUUGCAAGUAUAGAGUGGUUAUUUUUGAUAUAUAUGAUUUCAUUAAGAAGUCUAUUGCAUCCCACAUUCGCGUAAAGUCAUGAAAUGACAUAUGUAAUAUACACAGUCUAGCCUGAAACACAAAUAUAAUCACUAGUAAGAAAGUCAUAGUUCAACCCGUAAACUAUAUAUUACACGAAGAUAAUUUUAGCGUUAUUCCACGACGUAACUCCCAUUCAUAGUAAAAACUGUGAAUACUAUAUACAUAUAGUCAAAAACUAGCAUACUGUGUCUUUGCACACAAGAUUGAAAAUUGAAAUCAUAAUUUUAGAGAAAACUCUUUUAUUUGGUGAGAACCAGGUAUUAGACUUUUCACAAUCUAAGAAACUACAAUAACAUUCAAAAUAAUCAGCUCUUAUUUAUUAUUUGAACUUUACUAGAAGUUAAAAUUUUGUGAUUGUGAGAUGAGUGCAACUAGUCCCAAUGAAAGAAACAAGUAUUAAUAAUUAGGUGAACUUUGAAGAUUGUUGGACUUUAAAUCUAAGCCAAUAAUAUGAUGAUUUUGAAUUUUCAUAAAUUUUAAAGAAUAAUAUAAAAUAAAGUGUCAUCUUAUUAGUAAUAAUCUCUAACAGAUUGGUUUUUUUUAACCCGGAGAGAGAAUUUACGAUUGGGAUAGACAUAUGCUAAUUUCGGUAAGGAGACACUAAAAUUUAUAUAAAGUUAAACAGGUAGACAGACACAUCAUACGUGACAUAAUAUAAAUAAGUUUGAAUAUAUUUUACAUGAAUUGUCACUAAAAUGUGUUGUCUACUUGUUCAACUUUAUAUAAUUAUUUAAGUGUCUAUUUGUGCACGUCACCUAAAAUUGAAAGGCAUAAAAUAUCACAUGAGGUCAAGUUAGAAGGGUAUAUCUAUGUAUUAUACAUAUCUUGAUUAUUAUACAUAAAUUGAUUAUGUUCUUGCAUUGUUAAUGUUUAUUCUAUUGCAAAACUAUCUAAUUAUACAAAUAUUUCAAUUAAAUUUACUAAGUCUUCUUAUAGUUUGAAAUAAUUGUAUAUUGUCUCACUAAUUAAUAAUGUCAUAUCAGAUUUCAAGUCAAAUCUACUUAGAUACAUGUAUUUUUAAUUGCUACCAGAUACAAAUACACUGAAAUAGGGAGAGAGGUGAGUGAGAGAAGGAGAGAGGUAAGAGCGACAUAGGAGGGAGGCGAGCUAAACAAUCUAUGUAUCCUAGAUAUAUGUGAAUCACAAUAAAUGCAUGUAUCUAGGAUACCCAGAUACAUAUUAAAAUCCAAAUGCAUAGGGAGAGAGGAUAGCGAGAAAGGGAGAGAAGCAAGUGAGAUAGGAGAGAGGGAGCGAGAUAGGAGAGAUGCGAGAGAGUCAGACGAUAUAUGUGAAUCCACUUGAAUACAAUGUAUCUGCAACAAAUUACACCUAAUUUUGACCUAAUGUAUCUGAGAUACAUGUACCUAGACGCGUAAGAUACAUGUCCAAAGUUCAAAUUCUGAUAUAAUUCGUAAUAUUAAAAUCUUGUAUAAAAGAAAAUAAUUUACUCUUAAACUAGUGUAAUUUGUGUUAAUUGGCCUUAUUCUAUUUAUACAUAGGCUUAGAUUAACUUGCAUAGGCAAGCAAAUACGCGACAGAAUAUUGCAAGCAAUAUUAAACUAGAUAAAUUAAAAGGUUGAAUCAAUUAAAAAAAAUACAAGGUGAUUGUUAGAUAUAGCUAUAACUCUAAAUUGGUUUGAGCUAAUUAUUUAUUUUAAAAAAUCACAUAAAUUGAAACCUAGUAAUCUAGUUGUUGCCAACUGUUUCUUUCUCUCACUAAUAAAUAAAACACGAGUUAUUAUAAAUAAAAGGGUACAUUCAUGUGUUUUUAUUACUUCUAGAGAGAGAAAGUCAAAAGUGAGUUGUUUUUUCCCUUACGUACACACAUUUUUAGGCCACCGAAAAUACACAUAAUAGACUACCCCUUUUAAUCUUGUAAUGUUUCCUCCGUUUUAUUUGGCCAAAAAACUACAUGCAAUCAAUACGUGUCUCUCUUGAAGGCAAACAAUGUUUACUAUCAUAUCUUUUAGCACGUAAUGAAUUAGGUGAGUCAUGACAUAUGAAAUUGUAGGUCAAUGAGUUUUCUUUCAAAUGCCACCAAUUUUGUAUCAUUUAAUGUUUAAAGUAAAGCAUUAUGACCAUUUUAUCAGAGACUAGUAUAGUGUAAAUAACAGAAACUUCGAACGUUCAUAAUUUUGGCUUUAAAUGUUAUAUCUUUCAGUACUUUCUUUGGUAGUAGGAAAAUUGCAGCCCAAUACGAGUGCAUGUGCAUUAGUACCGAAUUGACUAGCAUCACUCUUCCUGCAUACGAUAGGUUUCUUGAUCCUCAUACUUUAACUCUCACAACCAAUUUAUCCACCAAUACCUCACAAUCCCCUACUGAGAGUCUUUUUGCUGAAAUAGGUAACCCUAAAUACCUAAAAGGUAGUUUACCUUUUGCGUACCCUGUCACCUCACACAGGUCCUCCAAUUCUUGUUUAUCCAUGCUUGCUGAAAAUAUAUUCAAUUUUGCAGCAUUGGUCGUUAAACCUGAAGCCUCAGAAAAUGUCAACAGUCCACUCAACAUCAUCAUCACUGAUUUGUAUUAUCCUUUACUAAAUAUGAGCAUGUCAUCUACGAAACAUAAGUGAUUUAAUUGCAAACUUUUAUAUUUCGUAUGGUACUUAAAACCUUCCUGAUUCGCCACCCAUCUCAUUACUCUUGUGAAAUAUUCCAUACAAAUUACAAAUAAUAAUGGGGAUAUUGUUAGGUUAGGUCUUAGGCCUAACUCACACCCCAAAAGCUAGCUCAAAGGGAGGAGGAUUGCCCAAGCCUUAUAAGGAGUCCACCCAUCUCAUUAACCACCGAUGUGGGACUUUUGUCAUUCUUUAAUAGAUAUUGGAUCCCCUUGCCUCAAGCCUUUUUUUCCGUGCAAUGCUACCAUACACUCCACCAUUAAGUGCUAUGUUGUAUUGUGUAGUUGACACACAUUCCAUUAUCCAGCCAAUGAAUUUCUGGGGGAAAUUAAUUAAGCCCAUGCAACAUUUCUUUCACAAAUUCCCACUCCACACUGUCAUAAGCCUUCCUUAGAUCAAUCUUUAUGAGACAACUCCUUGUAGUAUUCUUUCUGUUAUAUAAUCUGACAUAUCAUUAUAUUCUGUACAAUAGAUCUGCUAGCCAUAAAAGCACUUUGAUUACUGGAUAUUAUCCCUGGCAGUACCCUCUUCAACCUAAUACACAGCAUUUUGGAGAUAGUUUUGUAUAUAACAUUACAACACGAUAUUGGUCUAAAAUCUCCCACCGAUUCAACAUGACUACACUUUGGGAUCAAUGUUAUUGUGGUUCUAUUCAUACAUGUAAGUAGUCUCCCCGUAUUGAAAAAUUCCAGCACUCCUUCCACGACAUCCUCACUUAACCAUACCUCAUUUGAAAUUAUAAAUACCUAUAAUUAUCCAUUUGAACUAAUACACAUAAUUUAUUAAAUCAUCACAAACACCCACAAAAAAAUUUGGUCAAAAAAUUACAUGCAAUCAGUGUGUGCCUCUCUUGAAGGCAAACAAUGUUUACUACCAUAUCUUUUAGUACGUAAUGAAUUAGGUGAGCCAUGACAUAUGAAANNNNNNNNNNNNNNNNNNNNNNNNNNNNNNNNNNNNNNNNNNNNNNNNNNNNNNNNNNNNNNNNNNNNNNNNNNNNNNNNNNNNNNNNNNNNNNNNNNNNNNNNNNNNNNNNNNNNNNNNNNNNNNNNNNNNNNNNNNNNNNNNNNNNNNNNNNNNNNNNNNNNNNNNNNNNNNNNNNNNNNNNNNNNNNNNNNNNNNNNNNNNNNNNNNNNNNNNNNNNNNNNNNNNNNNNNNNNNNNNNNNNNNNNNNNNNNNNNNNNNNNNNNNNNNNNNNNNNNNNNNNNNNNNNNNNNNNNNNNNNNNNNNNNNNNNNNNNNNNNNNNNNNNNNNNNNNNNNNNNNNNNNNNNNNNNNNNNNNNNNNNNNNNNNNNNNNNNNNNNNNNNNNNNNNNNNNNNNNNNNNNNNNNNNNNNNNNNNNNNNNNNNNNNNNNNNNNNNNNNNNNNNNNAUGAAAUUGUAGGUCAAUGAGUUUUCUUUCAAAUGCCACCAAUUUUGUAUCAUUUAAUGUUUAGUGUAAAGCAUUAUGAACAUUAUACCAAAGACUAAUGUAGUGGUAAAUAAGAGAAACUUCGAACGUUCAUAAUUUUGGCUUUAGAUGCUAGUUUCGGGUAUAGAAAAACUCUAUUGCAUGGUCCAUACCUCAUUUGAACUUAUAAAUACCUAUAAUUACCCAUUCGAACCAACACACAUAAUUUAUUAAAUCGUCACAAAGACCCACAAAAAAUUUUGGUAAAAAAACUACAUGCAGUCAAUGUGUGCCUCUCUUGAAGGCAAACAAUGUUUACUACCAUAUCUUUUAGUACGUAAUGAAUUAGGUGACCCAUGACAUAUGAAAUUAUAGGUCAAUGAGUUUUUCUUUCAAAUGCCACCAAUUUUGUAUCAUUUAAUGUUUAAAGUAAAGCAUUAUGGCCAUUUUACCAGAGACUAGUGUAGUGUAAAUAAGAGAAACUUCGAUACAUGUAUUUUUAAUUGCUACCAGAUACACUGAAAUAGGGAGAAAGGUGAGAGCGAGAUAGGAGGGAGGCAAGCGAAAUAAUCUAUGUAUCUCAGAUACAUGCAAAUCACAAUAGAUACAUGUAUUUAGGAUACCCAAAUACAUUAUGGAAUACAAAUACAUAGGGAGAGAGGAUAGCGAGAAAGGGAGAGAUGCAAGUGAGAUAGGAGAGAGGGAGCAAGAUAGGAGAGAGGCGGGAGAGUCAAACGAUAAAUGCAAAUCCAUACAAUGUAUCUGCAACAAAUUACACCUAAUUUUAACCUAAUAUAUCUGAGAUACAUGUAUCUGGACGCGUAAAAUACAUGCAUCUGAAAUUCAAACUUUGGUAAGAUUCAUAAUAUUGAAAACUCACAUGAAUGAAAAUAAUUUACUCUUAAACUAGUAAAAUCUGUAUUAUUUAACUUUAUUCCACUGAUACAUAGGUUUAGAUUAACUUGAAUAGGUAAGCAAAUACGCGACGAAAUAUUGCAAGCAAUAUUAAACUAGAUAAAUUAAAAGGUUGAAUCAAUUAAAAAAUACAAGGUGACUGUUAGAUAUAGCUAUAACUCUAAAUUUAUUUGAGCUAAUUAUUUUUUAAAAAUAGUCACACAAAUUAAAACAGAGUAAUCUAAUAGUUGCCAACUGUUUCUUUCUCUCACUAAUAAAUAAAACACGAGUUAUUAUAAAUAAAAAGGGUACAUUCAUGUGUUUUUAUUACUUCUAGAGAGAGAAAGUCAAAAGUGAGCUGUUUUUUUUUCCUUACGUACACACAUUUAGGCCACCGAAAAUACACAUAUUAGACUACCCCUUUUAAGCUAGUAAUGUUUCUUUAGUUUUAUUUUACUUGAUUGCUAUAUUAAAAAUUAAUAUUUUAUUUUAUAUAUCUAUUUAAUAAUUAGUAAAAUUUAUUGCAUAAAAUAACAACUGAUAAAUUUAGAAUUUCAAAAAAUAAUUAAUCAAGUUGGUUUAUAUGGCUACAACUUUGAUUAAAGUUUUUUCAAGGCGCGUGUUAGUUCAACUAGGAUUAAAAAAUAUAAAACGGAGAGAGCAUUUAUUAAAGCGCUAAACAAUUAUUCUUUUUAAAUACUCCUUUUAUUAUUAUUUUUACUUAUUCACUAAACUAAACAAUGUAUUUUACAUGUUAACAUAUCAUGUUCUACGCUUACCAUUAAAAUACUUAUUUUUCAAAAUUUAAGACUAGACAUUAAUUAAAAUGUUGUUUUGUCAAGGAUAGGUAAAGUCUAAACUGGACAAGUAAAAAGUAAACGGAUAGAGUAUUUAAAUAGUAUAAUUAAGAAAUACCCUUUGAAAAGUCUUAUUCAUCUAUUUGCGUGUUGACUUUGAAGAAUCUCAAUCUCCGACUCAUAUAUAUAAACACAACCAAAUCCUCUAAUUUUUCAAACCAAUUCACUACUCAUCUAAACUCUCAACAAAACUUUAUCUACUCAAAAUAUUCCUUUUAUUUUUUUUUGGUCAUAUUUGCAACUUUCUUAUAAGAUUAAUCUCCUUCUUUGAUUAAUCUUGAAAUUUUCCAAAAUAUACAAAUGGAAGAAAUUCAAGUACCUCCUUAUUUUAUUUGUCCAAUUUCUUUAGAGAUGAUGAAAGAUCCUGUCACAAUCUCCACAGGAAUAACAUAUGAUCGAAAAAUGGAUAUUCUCUGCGAAGAACAACACUUGUCCGGCUACGAAGCAGUCUCUUACAUGCAUAGAGUUGACCCCACAUGUCACUCUUCGGAGAUUUAUCCAAUCGUGGUGUACUAUCAAUGCGUCCCAUGGUAUUCAAAAGGUUCCCUACACCAAAACCUCCGGUUAGCAAACCACAAAUAAUAAAGCUCUUAAAAGAAGCAAAAUCGCCUAAAUUGCAAUUGAAUUCUCUCAAGAGACUCAGAUCCAUAGCUUCUGAGAAUGAUGCUAACAAACGUUGCAUAGAAUCCGCGGGGGCAAUGGAGUUCUUAGCUUCUAUUAUUAAUAAUAAUAAUUCGAAUGAAGUGUUUGAAGAAGAAG